CACGUAGUUAGCCGUGGCUUAUUCGACAGGUACCGUCUUCUGCUCUUCCCUGUCAAAAGAAGUUUACAACCCGAAAGCCUUCUUCCUUCACGCGGCGUUGCUGGGUCAGGCUUGCGCCCAUUGCCCAAUAUUCCCCACUGCUGCCUCCCGUAGGAGUCUGGGCCGUAUCUCAGUCCCAAUGUGGCCGGCCAACCUCUCAGUCCGGCUACUGAUCGUCGCCUUGGUAGGCCGUUACCCUACCAACUAGCUAAUCAGACGCGAGGCCAUCUCUCAGCGAUAAAUCUUUGGUACCAGUACCAUGCGAUACCCGUACGUUAUGCGGUAUUAGCAGUCGUUUCCAACUGUUGUCCCCCUCUGAAAGGCAGGUUCCUCACGCGUUACUCACCCGUCCGCCACUAAGUAGUCCUCUCCAUUGACCGAAAUCUCUUUCGAGGGUACUCCGUUCGACUUGCAUGUGUUAAGCACGCCGCCAGCGUUCGUCCUGAGCCAGGAUCAAACUCU
rnacentral:rRNA from 1 species